AUUGAACGCUGGCGGCAGCCCUUAUACAUGCAAGUCGAACGAGAAAGUUCCCUUCGGGAGCGAGUAAAGUGGCGGACGGGUGAGUAACGCGUAGGAAUCUACCUUUCAGUGGGGGAUAGCUCGGGGAAACUCGAAUUAAUACCGCAUAUACCCUUCGGGGGAAAGGGGGCCUCUCCUUGGAAGCUCUCGCUGUUAGAUGAGCCUGCGUGAGAUUAGCUUGUUGGUAAGGUAAUGGCUUACCAAGGCUACGAUCUCUAGCUGGUCUGAGAGGACGAUCAGCCACACUGGGACUGAGACACGGCCCAGACUCCUACGGGAGGCAGCAGUAGGGAAUAUUGGACAAUGGGGGCAACCCUGAUCCAGGCAUGCCGCGUGUGUGAAGAAGGCCUUAGGGUUGUAAAGCACUUUAAGUGAGGAAGAAAAGAUUUAAAUUAAUACUUUAAGUCCCUGACAUUACUCACAGAAUAAGGACCGGCUAACUCCGUG
rnacentral:rRNA from 1 species